GACAGAGGGGGCAAGCGUUGUUCGGAUUUACUGGGCGUAAAGGGCGCGUAGGCGGCGCAACAAGUCACUUGUGAAAUCUCCGGGCUUAACUCGGAAAGGUCAAGUGAUACUGUUGUGCUAGAGUGCGGAAGGGGCAACUGGAAUUCUCGGUGUAGCGGUGAAAUGCGUAGAUAUCGAGAGGAACACCUGCGGCGAAGGCGGGUUGCUGGGCCGACACUGACGCUGAUGCGCGAAAGCCAGGGGAGCGAACGGG
rnacentral:rRNA from 1 species